CCUACGGGCGGCUGCAGUGGGGAAUAUUGGACAAUGGGCGAAAGCCUGAUCCAGCCAUGCCGCGUGUGUGAAGAAGGCCUUCGGGUUGUAAAGCACUUUCAGUGGGGAAGAAAGCCUUGGGGCUAAUACCCUCGAGGAAGGACAUCACCCACAGAAGAAGCACCGGCUAACUCCGUGCCAGCAGCCGCGGUAAUACGGAGGGUGCGAGCGUUAAUCGGAAUUACUGGGCGUAAAGCGCGCGUAGGCGGUCUGAUAAGCCGGUUGUGAAAGCCCCGGGCUCAACCUGGGAACGGCAUCCGGAACUGUCAGGCUAGAGUGCAGGAGAGGAAGGUAGAAUUCCCGGUGUAGCGGUGAAAUGCGUAGAGAUCGGGAGGAAUACCAGUGGCGAAGGCGGCCUUCUGGACUGACACUGACGCUGAGGUGCAAAAGCGUGGGUAGCAAACAGGAUUAGAUACCCGGGUAGUC
rnacentral:rRNA from 1 species